AGCGAACGCUGGCGGCAGGCUUAACACAUGCAAGUCGAGGGUAGCGGCAGACGGGUGAGUAACGCGUGGGAACGUACCUUUUGGGUCGGAACAACACAGGGAAACUCGUGGUAAUACCGGAUACCGAAAGAUCGGCCCGCGUCGGAUUAGCUAGUUGGUAUGUUAAUGGCCUACCAAGGCGACGAUCAGUAGCUGGUCUGAGAGGUUGAUCAGCCACAUUGGGACUGAGACACGGCCCAAACUCCUCCGGGAGGCAGCAGUGGGGAAUAUUGGACAAUGGAGGCAACCCUGAUCCAGCCAUGCCGCGAAAGUGAUGAAGGCCCUAGGGUUGUAAAGCUCUUUUGUACGGGAAGCGGUACCGCAAGAAUAAGCCACGGCUAACUUCGUGCCAGCAGCCGCGGUAAUAC
rnacentral:rRNA from 1 species